rnacentral:rRNA from 1 species
ACGGAAGGCAGCAGUGGGGGAUAUUGCACAAUGGGGGAAACCCUGAUGCAGCGACGCCGCGUGAGCGAUGAAGUAUUUCGGUAUGUAAAGCUCUGUCAUCGGGGACGAUAAUGACUGUACCCGAGAAGGAAGCUCCGGCUAACUACGUGCCAGCAGCCGCGGUAAUACGUAGGGAGCGAGCGUUAUCCGGAAUUACUGGGUGUAAAGGGAGUGUAGGCGGGACUGUAAGUCAGAUGUGAAAUAUGCCGGCUCAACUGGCAGACUGCAUUUGAAACUGCGGUUCUUGAGUGAAGUAGAGGUAAGCGGAAUUCCUAGUGUAGCGGUGAAAUGCGUAGAUAUUAGGAGGAACAUCAGUGGCGAAGGCGGCUUACUGGGCUUUAACUGACGCUGAGGCUCGAAAGCGUGGGGAGCAAACAGGAUUAGAUACCCUGGUA